GGACGCUGGGUCUGCAGAUGCCAUCCAGGCGCACGGCGGGUAUAGUGGUUCCGCAACCUUGGGAUGUUCGGCCGAGCGCCUGCCUAACAUGGGAGCGCCUGCCUAACCCUCCUGACUGGAGGGUCAGCGGCGGGGAGUCCUGGCCUUCAAUCGGCCAUCGCCACGGCAGAAACUGGGGCCCGGGCCUUCCCCGUCCGUCCACAGGUCUCAUGGGCGCCCGGACUGGGGCUGAUGUAGUUUCCCGACCUCUGACACAUAGAAUCUGGAGAUUAAAGAGCAAAUACCUACCAGAACGGAUAACUUGAGAGAUGUGGAAAGAUCUGGAGCUCAGGACCCACUACCUCCCCGGCCCACUGCAAGCUUGAACAUUUGAUGGUGGACACCCCUCCCUGACUUUGUAUUAUGGUCCAGAUUUUGGAUGAAUCUCUAUAAUGGAGAUUGAACAGUGUCACUGGCGUGGGGGUUACCUUCCCACUAUGUCCCCCAGAAGACAUGAGGCCACAGACUGCAGUGCCCGUGGACAGAGGAGCUGUGGGGAUGGAAGUGUGAUUGCUUCAUUCAAAUGCACGCCCCGGUGCGUGUGCGUCUCUUCUGAUGCAGCGCCCCAUGGAUACCCCAUCAGCCUGAGUCUCUUAAAGGCCUUUAUACACACAUGUCUACACAUAGGGAUUUGGAUUAUCUCGGGAUCCCACAUCCUCGCUGUCCCCUGUCCCCCCGCAACAUCCCCCACCAAUACCUUUCUGAAGUUUUCUAGUCCCUCCUUUUUGUUUGUGCUCCUUAAAGCCCAGCCCCAUGCCUGACUUUGGUUCCCAGUGAGCAUUGUACAUUUGUGGAUAUUAAAUCUUUGGCAAAG
rnacentral:lncRNA from 1 species